UACAGAGGUCUCAAGCGUUGUUCGGAUUCAUUGGGCGUAAAGGGUGUGUAGGUGGCGCCGUUAGUCGGGGGUGAAAUUUCGGAGCUUAACUCCGAAACUGCAUUCGAUACUGCGGUGCUUGAGGACUGGAGAGGAGACUGGAAUUCAUGGUGUAGCAGUGAAAUGCGUAGAGAUCAUGAGGAAGACCAGUGGCGAAGGCGGGUCUCUGGACAGUUCCUGACACUGAGACACGAAGGCCAGGGGAGCAAACGGG
rnacentral:rRNA from 1 species